rnacentral:rRNA from 1 species
UACGGGGGGAGCAAGCGUUGUUCGGAUUUACUGGGCGUAAAGGGCGCGUAGGCGGCCACCGCAAGUCGGUUGUGAAAUCUCUGGGCUUAACCCAGAAAGGUCAACCGAUACUGCGGGGCUAGAGUGCAGAAGGGGCAACUGGAAUUCGUCGGUGUAGCGGUGAAAUGCGUAGAUAUCGAGAGGAACACCUGCGGCGAAGGCGGGUUGCUGGGCUGACACUGACGCUGAGCGCGAAAGCUAGGGGAGCGAACGGG